rnacentral:rRNA from 1 species
UACGGGGGGAGCAAGCGUUGUUCGGAUUUACUGGGCGUAAAGGGCGCGUAGGCGGUCAGCACAAGUCAGUUGUGAAAUCUCCCAGCUUAACUCGGAAAGGUCAACUGAUACUGUGCGACUAGAGUGCGGAAGGGGCAACUGGAAUUCUUGGUGUAGCGGUGAAAUGCGUAGAUAUCAAGAGGAACACCUGCGGCGAAGGCGGGUUGCUGGGCCGACACUGACGCUGAAGCGCGAAAGCCAGGGGAGCGAACGGG